UGCUAGCGGCAGGCUAACACAUGCAAGUCGAGGGGUAGAGGAAGCUUGCUUCCUUGAGACCGGCGCACGGGUGCGUAACGCGUAUGCAAUCUGCCUUGUACUGAGGGAUAGCCCAGAGAAAUUUGGAUUAAUACCUCAUAGCAUUAUGAAAUCGCAUGGUUUUAUAAUUAAAGUUCCAACGGUACAAGAUGAGCAUGCGUCCCAUUAGUUAGUUGGUAAGGUAACGGCUUACCAAGACGAUGAUGGGUAGGGGUCCUGAGAGGGAGAUCCCCCACACUGGUACUGAGACACGGACCAGACUCCUACGGGAGGCAGCAGUGAGGAAUAUUGGUCAAUGGACGCAGGUCUGAACCAGCCAUGCCGCGUGCAGGAUGAAGCAUCUAUGGUGUGUAAACUGCUUUUGUACGGGAAGAAACACUCCUACGUGUAGGAGCUUGACGGUACCGUAAGAAUAAGGAUCGGCUAACUCCGUGCCAGCAGCCGCGGUAAUACGGAGGAUCCAAGCGUUAUCCGGAAUCAUUGGGUUUAAAGGGUCCGUAGGCGGCUUUAUAAGUCAGUGGUGAAAGCCCAUCGCUUAACGAUGGAACGGCCAUUGAUACUGUAGAGCUUGAAUUACUUGGAAGUAACUAGAAUAUGUAGUGUAGCGGUGAAAUGCUUAGAUAUUACAUGGAAUACCAAUUGCGAAGGCAGGUUACUACAAGUGGAUUGACGCUGAUGGACGAAAGCGUGGGGAGCGAACAGGAUUAGAUACCCUGGUAGUCCACGCCGUAAACGAUGGAUACUAGCUGUUCGGAGCAAUCUGAGUGGCUAAGCGAAAGUGAUAAGUAUCCCACCUGGGGAGUACGCACGCAAGUGUGAAACUCAAAUGAAUUGACGGAAGGCGAAUUCCAGCACAC
rnacentral:rRNA from 1 species